ensembl:lncRNA
UAACUUUAACACUGUGCCCUUUGAAAAUGCACUGUAAUGUAACGUGGGCAAAGAGGAAUCGGCGAGCUUAAAUACCAAAAGAUGUAAAAUGAGAACGGAUGUAGAUAGUGCUGCUGCUGCCAAAACAUUCUGCUCAGUUAUUUCCAAACGUGAAGCGAUGGCCCUUUGUAGACCCCACUAUUGAUACCCACUGUGAAAUGUUCCGAGCUCAGCUUAAGUUGCAUGUUUUCCUUCCUGUGUAAUUGCAUGCAGGACUCUGUUCUGUUGCUUUGUGCUCACGUUGAGGAUUCUGACGGGUGCCUUCAAUUUGCAGGAGCGCAGAGCGGCUGGCGGCGGAGCGAGGGCUGGAGGCAGGAAGGGGCAGCGCGCACUGGGAAGCUCAGAUCCCGAGAGCACAGAGCAGAACCCUUUGCUGUCAUUGCUCAGCUGAGCCCCGUGUUCCAAUUGAAAUGUUUGUUUCCACGCUCACUUUGCUCCUUCUGCGCUGCGGGACGGAGGUCGGAUGCGUUGCUUUCAGGUGGUGAAGGACCGUGGUCCAGGAGCCCCGUGCUUUACUGCGAGUUGGAAGAAGCCGAGUGCCAGCUCUGCUGAAUGCCAGAGCUCCUUCAGCUGCCUCCAGAGCUGGAGAGAGGCAGCACUGAAGCACAGCCUUCCCCAUGGAGCUGUUGCUGCUGGCUCUGGAACCAAGCACGAGCAAAGGCGUGCCUGCAGUGUUCCACCCUGACCUGCUCCUGUAGAGCACCAGUGCUGCUGCUGGGCUGGAGGACGUGGUUCUGCCCCAGGUGCCGGGAUGCUGCUGGGCUUCGGUGCACAGGUUCCAAAACCAAUAAGGAACGGAAGAACGCUCCAAUGAAGGGCUGUUCAUUUUAGAAGAGGCUUUGCCUGCAGGCUGGGCAGGGGCAGCAGGCAGGAUUGUGUACUGCUCCAUCUGAGCCAUAGCCUGAGCUGCCCGCAGGUUGGGGAGUUCAGCGCAGAGCGCUGCAGGUGGCCGGCGGAGGCGGUGAGCGGUGAUCGAGGUACUCGUGGAGUCGAGAUGACGUGUAUGGGAAGCUGGCACGCUGUGACACAGCCGGCGUUUAGCUGAUGUUGUCAUUCCUUAAUAAAGACUGCACACGGAUCUUUUGGCUUCCAAACACGUGAGGUGGUGCUGUUUCUCUCCCCGCUGCGGCGCUGCUGCCUGUCAGGG